AUACUUUUAAGUGGUUUUUGUGCUGUGUGUGAGUACUCGUUAGUUGUUUCAGUUUGCUACAGGCCGAAGGUGGUAAUUUAUUGUAAAGGUUUAAAAAAGAACAUUGUUGACCCUAAAUAUAAAGUUAAUAAUUUUAAAAGCUACAAGAAAGUACUUAUUCUGUUUACCAAUUACUACUCCGACUGAUCCGAAAUGUACAACCGCUUCAUAAGACAGAGACUAAACAAAAUGCAGAUGGGCCAUAUUAAUAAAACUUCAAACAAACUUACUCAAUUGAAAGUAUUAGAAAGACAUCUUAAACAAACAAGAAGGAAAUUUGCAAGGAUUGAACGACUGACUUAUGCAAACAUGGCUCAUCUGUUCUCCAAGCAACUACUCUUCUCACAAGGGAUUUUUCAAAAAUAUUACAUGUUUUUAAAGAGUAUGACAACCAUGUUAACAUCCAUGCUCUUACUCUUUACUACAAUUAAAAAAAAGAUAUAACUGUAAAUUUACAUCUUCAAAGCAGCAUUAAGAUAUUUGUGUUCAGUUUUAUCAAAGAGAAAUCUUAAAAUUAUAUUAGAUUUUAAAUAUUUGUAUUUGUUUAAAAUAAUUUGAAGCUAAAUGUAUUGUAAACUCAAUUAUAUAUAUUGGUUUAAUUUCUCUCUCUGCAAGUCACUUAAGGUCUUAGUUUUAUUUAUUUAAGUUUAAAUUUAUGGAAAUCUUGAGAAUCUUAUUCAACUAUUAAAUGGGAACUAUAGAUUUUAUUAUUAAAAUGUGAUAUUAAUAUACUAUUGUGAUAUGAGAUAAGCAUAAUCAACUGACUUAUUACUAUAGCUUGUUUUAUAAUAUUAAAAAUUCUGCAUAUGAGAAUUGUUCAUGAAAUUAUGUAGAAUUAAUUAUAUAGUAUUAUGGGUAAAAACUAAAAUGUAAUAGAAUUAUGCCUAGUAUUAUUAAAUUUUCAUAAUUU